rnacentral:lncRNA from 1 species
CUCAGGAUGGAAAGUUGGUGGUUGAAGAUAUCCCUCCAGUGGUGUGGGGGCUGUGCUUUGGCUGUGCUUUGACAAAAGGACCUGAGCCCUAGGACCAUGCCUCGGGACUACCUGGCAUGAUGACUCCUUGCUGUCCCCAGUCCACCUGGCCGUGCUGCUGCUCCAGUUUCACCUGUUCUGCCUGCGGCUAUGGAACCCUGACCUGUUCACCGGACAUGCUACCUGUCCCAGACCUGCUGUUUUCAACUCUCUAGAGACAGCAGGAGCGGUAGAGAACUCUCAAUGAUCGGCUAUGAAAAGCCAAAUGACAUUUACUCUUGAGGUGCUGACUUGUUGCACCCUCGACAACUACUGUGAUUAUUAUUAUUUGACCAUGCUGGUCAUUUAUGAAUAUUUGAACAUCUUGGCCAUGUUCUGUUAUAAUCUCCACCCGGCACAGCCAGAAGAGGACUGGCCACCCCUCAUAACCUGGUUCCUCUCUAGGUUUCUUCCU